AUACGUAGGGGGCGAGCAUUGUCCGGAAUGAUUGGGCGUAAAGGGCGCGUAGGCGGCCCGGUAAGUCUGGAGUGAAAGUCCUGUUUUUAAGAUGGGAAUUGCUUUGGAUACUGUCGGGCUUGAGUGCAGGAGAGGUAAGUGGAAUUCCCAGUGUAGCGGUGAAAUGCGUAGAGAUUGGGAGGAACACCAGUGGCGAAGGCGACUUACUGGACUGUAACUGACGCUGAUGCGCGAAAGUGUUGGGAGCAAACAGGAUUAGAUACCCUGGUAGUCCACACUGUAAACGAUGAAUGCUAGGUGUAGGGGGUAUCGACCCCUUCUGUGCCGCAGUCAACACAAUAAGCAUUCCGCCUGGGGAGUACGGCCGCAAGGUGGAAACUCAAAGGAAUUGGCGGGG
rnacentral:rRNA from 1 species